CAUCAAUUUUCACUCUCCUUCCCCAUCCUUUUUCUUACGCAUAGAAGUCUGUUUGCUGUAAGUCUGCCUGCUGUAUUUUACACGGCAGUUUCCAUCUUUCCCUUUCUUCCUCUUAGUUUAUUCUUUUCCUUUGUCUCUUUCAACGUACAAACCGUUGCUUUCUCUUCCCUUAAACGUGAUACUUCCAUUUCUGCUCCCUCUUGAACGACCAAACUCCAUACUUAGUUUCCUCUACCGAAAAAUUUAUAAGUUUGUGUGUUGCUGUUGCCAUCAUACCACAUCACAAUCUUCUGCGGUUUCGGCUCAACACCAUCACCAAGAGGAUCAAGGCUGGUCUCUAUGUUGCUGUUCAACCACCAAUGAGAGCCGCCGUUAGCUGUGUUUAGGUCCAUAAAUGGAGGAAGGCUAGAUCGUGUACAGUUGGUCGCAAGAAAGGAGGAAUAGGACUCUCGCUAUCUCCUUCCAAGUGAUGACGGGUUUUCCGUCAAGACUGGAUGUAGGGUGACAGCUCACCCCGAGAUAUUGAGAAGUAUGGUAUUGUAAUAGUAAACCCCAAUUUUAUAAAUAGAAGCUUAGUUAGUGGUUAAUCGAAUAGCUUCACUUUUGUAUCAAACCUUGGGGUGUUAAACUGGUCUAUUUACAUAGAUAUGAUAAUGUUGUAGUUGUGGUUAGUGAAAAAUAAUAUCCUACGUUUCUAUCC